AGAGUUCCAUAUGUGGACAAUUGAUAUAUUCAAUGGAAAUGAAUUUCAUAUCAUACUACUGUCAAAUCUACUCAUUGUUUCAAGAUCAUCCUGGAAUUAAAAGAGUACCUGCAUUCAUUACUGUACUGUAUCCACCUGUCAAAAGGUCCUUAAAUAUGUUGUCUUCUCAAAUCCAUACCUUAUCUUUAAUAAAACUGGGUUGACCAAAGUGUUCUACUGCAAUGCCUCUCCACUGUUAUCCAGCUAGUUCCAACAGGCUCACUCAACUUUAUA